rnacentral:rRNA from 1 species
AGUGAACGCUGGCGGCAGGCCUAACACAUGCAAGUCGAACGAACUCUUCGGAGUUAGUGGCGGACGGGUGAGUAACACGUGGGAACGUGCCUUUAGGUUCGGAAUAACUCAGGGAAACUUGUGCUAAUACCGAAUGUGCCCUUCGGGGGAAAGAUUUAUCGCCUUUAGAGCGGCCCGCGUCUGAUUAGCUAGUUGGUGAGGUAAAGGCUCACCAAGGCGACGAUCAGUAGCUGGUCUGAGAGGAUGAUCAGCCACAUUGGGACUGAGACACGGCCCAAACUCCUACGGGAGGCAGCAGUGGGGAAUCUUGCGCAAUGGGCGAAAGCCUGACGCAGCCAUGCCGCGUGAACGAUGAAGGUCUUAGGAUUGUAAAAUUCUUUCACCGGGGACGAUAAUGACGGUACCCGGAGAAGAAGCCCCGGCUAACUUCGUG